UGGCAGAGCAAUAUGGCUGCCUCUAUCAGCUCGCUUACAACGUGACAACUUUAAAUGGAGCUGAUUCUCGGUAUUGCAAUUUAGGUCAUAUUUUUAUAAUAAAAUUAACUGUCGCGUUCGUUUUAUAUCCAAUCCAGUACACAACUCAUUUUAGGUGAGCCCAGCAAAGCUUAUGCUCACAUUGGAAAUUGUCAAGUUUUGUAAUGGCUUCGUUUAAACCCACAAGAAUUCCAAGCUAUCCUAAGUUUGGGGAGAAGGUUACUCAGGACACACUGUACUGGAGAAAUUAUAAGACUCCUGUCCAGAUUAAGGAAUUUGGGGCAAUCACGAACAUAGACUUUUCUCCCACCUCCCCAUAUAAUUAUGCAGUCACUGCAUCAACAAGGAUCCAGAUAUAUGGCCCGUACUCUCAGGAGCCAGUGAAGUCAUUCACGCGGUUCAAGGACACAGCAUACAGCGGCACGUUCCGGUCUGACGGCCAGCUCCUGGUGGCCGGCAGUGAGGACUCCCUGGUGCAGCUUUUCGACGUCAACGGCCAGGUGCCGCUCAGACAGUAUUCUGGACACUCCAAGGCAGUACACGUCACAGACUUCACGUCGGACCGCUAUCGGAUACUCUCUGGGUCGGAUGACUACACGUGUCGACUGUGGGACAUCCCCAGCUCCGCUGAAAUUUCCUGCUACAAUGAGCACACUGAUUACAUUCGCUGCGGCACAACGAGCAAGUUGAAUCCCGACCUUUUCAUCACGGGGUCCUACGACCACACUGUGAGGGUUUUUGAUGGGCGAACAGACAAAAGCAUAAUGAACAUGGACCAUGGGCACCCGGUAGAGAGCGUCCUGCUUUUCCCCUCUGAGGGGCUUCUGGUCUCGGCGGGUGGCCGCUAUGUGAAAGUGUGGGACAUGCUGAAGUGGGGGCAGGCACUGGUGUCCUUGAAGAACCAUCACAAGACAGUGACGUGUUUGUGCAUGAGCAGCUCGGGGCAGAGGCUGCUGUCAGGGUCUUUGGACAGGCAUGUGAAGGUCUACAGCACAACAACAUAUAAAGUGGUCCAUAACUUUGACUACGCGUCCUCCAUCUUGAGCAUCGCGUUGGCGCCUGAAGAUAACACUCUUGUGGUUGGGAUGACCAAUGGCGUGUUGAGCAUCAAGCAGAGGAAGCCAGAAGAGAAGGAGGCGCUUGGCAGUAAGCAGCGGCGGCGGCGGCCAUCAUACCGGGUCUUUGUCAAGGGGAAGACCUACGUGCCCAAGCAGGAUGAUUUCCUGGUCAGCAAACCAGUCAGGAUGCACCUGCAGAAAUACGACAAGCAGCUGAAGAGCUUCCAGGUUUCCAAAGCUCUGGACACGGUUCUGGAGCCCUGGAUUCGAGUGAAGAAACCAGAGGUCACAGUGGCUGUGAUGCAGGAGUUGAACCGCAGAGGCACUCUGAAGAACGCCCUUGCCGGCCGAGAUGAAAGGAGCCUUAGCACCCUGCUCAGCUUCCUCAUAGGGUAAUCCUGCUCAGCUUCUCAUAGGCUCAUAGGCUUCCUCAUAGGGUAAUCCUGCUCAGCUUCUCAUAGGCUCAUAGGCUUCCUCAUAGGGUAAUCCUGCUCGGCGUCCUCAUAGGGUAAUCCUGCUCGGCGUCCUCAUAGGGUAAUCCUGCUCGGCGUCCUCAUAGGGCACUUCAGUUUGCUUUGGUGAAUUGUCACCUGCAGUGUCCUGGACAAAAUAAACUCAGCACAUCAGGGAGUAUUCUUUGUAUGUGGUUUAAAAAUUCCAAGAUUAAAGACUCAUCUGGGAUUGUCUAAUCAUGGAUACAGUUAUCCAGCUGUUUCAGUUUUUCAAAGCCAUUGGAGAGUCAGAUUAGCCAAGCUGAACUGAAUCAUCCAAGAUAACUGUGGGCUCCCGUGGACCCUAACUAAGCUACAUAUAUCACCACUCGCAACCAUGACCAACAAGUGUGUGAUUGGUUGCCUAAAAGGUCGAAAGCAGGAGUGCAGGCCUUCAUACAGGGAAUCUAAGAACACGCAGGGGAAGGACAUUCCUAACAUUAUUGUAUGAAACCUCUUUAAUGCAAAUAUGUUUUCAAAACAUUCAAACAAUAUAGUUUCUACAUUUUUGUAUCACAAAGUCCAAAACUAUCAGGUAAUGCAUCCGUCUGAACAAUUGAGCAGAGUAAGAAAACUAUUAAAUCUGAUAUUUAAGUAACUAAAAAAAGUUACAUUUAAUUUGGUGUAAUUCUUUGUUUGAAUCCUUUUGCACAUGCCAGGUGGUACAACCCAUGAAAAAUCAUCAAAACAUUGCAAUAUGAAUGGUGUAAUACACAUUACUAUGCACUGUACACUGUACAUCAUUACAGCGGGGUGCACACACAAAGUCCAUAUGUACAGUAGCACCAGUGACUAUAGUCCAGGACAUUUCUAGUUAGUUUGAGCUAUGGCAUGUGGAAGGCUCCUAUCUGAGUUGCGAAUUGGUUAAGUCCUUUUGAUCUGUUAACUAGGAGGGUGAGUUUUGGAAAAGCUGAUGCUUGGGGUAAGAAGUAUUAACAGUGAUUUCCCCUAGUUUGAUUCUUCACCCCGAAUUCCUGUAUUGAGGAAAGGCUGCAGCUGGUCUUUUCUGUAUUGAGCUGGAGCAGCAUUGAACCAGAGACCCAGGAUGAGAAGAUGAACUCUGUUACACUGUAUGAUUAGUAUUUCACUGUAUGAUUAGUAUUUCACUGUAUGAUUAGUAUUUCUUGGGGGUGGUUACAUUUCUUCAGUUACUAUACAAGCAUCGUCUGCUAUCCCUUCUCUGUGAUGCUGGUGAUGCUCUAAUCCCACGUGAGGUUUUGGGAGAGGGAAGUCCCCAGGAACGUGAAUGAACCUCAGCAAUGUUAACGGUUGAGUCAUUUAAAGAAAGUGGGAGCCUGAGUGACUGUUACUUCAGGAAAUAAUUUACCGUCUCCUUUGUCUUCUAAAAUGUAGAGCUCUAGAUUUGUUUUUGACUGCAAUAGGUUGUCAGAUGUUUUGCCUUCAGUUUUGUAUGAUUUAUAUUAUAUAUUUAUUUGU